UUGGACCUGAUAUCAGGCAAGACUACCCGCUGAACUAAGCAUAUCAAA
rnacentral:rRNA from 1 species